CACCGCCUGGGGAGUACGACCGCAAGGUUAAAACUCAAAUGAAUUGACGGGGACCCGCACAAGUAGUGGAGCAUGUGGUUUAAUUCGAAGAUACGCGCAGAACCUUACCAACACUUGACAUGUUCGUCGCGACUCUAAGAGAUUAGAGUUUUCGGUUCGGCCGGACGAAACACAGGUGCUGCAUGGCUGUCGUCAGCUCGUGUCGUGAGAUGUUGGGUUAAGUCCCGCAACGAGCGCAACCCUCACUUUUAGUUGCCAUCAUUCAGUUGGGCACUCUGAAAGAACUGCCAGUGAUAAGCUGGAGGAAGGUGGGGAUGACGUCAAGCCCUCAUGGCCCUUACGUGUUGGGCUACACACGUGCUACAAUGGCAUUUACAAUAGGAAGCAAGAUGGCGACAUUAAGCAAAUCCUAAAAAAAUGCCUCAGUUCGGAUUGUACUCUGCAACUCGAGUACAUGAAGCUGGAAUUACUAGUAAUCGCGGAUCAGCGCGCCGCGGUGAAUACGUUCCCGGGUCUUGUACACACCGCCCGUCACACCAUGGGAGUUGGUUCUACCUUAAGGCAAAGUUUAAAACCUUUGACCACGGUAUAGUCAGCGACUGGGGUGAAGUCGUAACAAAGGUAGCCGUAGGGGAACCUGCGGCUGGAUUACCUCCUUUCUAAGGAUGAUUAAGGAUUUAUUCUUCAUUCUAAAUAUUAUACAGGUUAAUGUUGACCGUCCUCAUUUCUCUUCUUAAAAAUGUGUUUCUCUUUUCUGCAUAAGGGCCGGUAGCUCAGUUGGUUAGAGCACACCCUUGAUAAGGGUGGGGUCGAAAGUUCGAGUCUUUCUCGGCCCACCAAAUUAUGGGGGAUUAGCUCAGCUGGGAGAGCGCCUGAUUUGCAUUCAGGAGGUCAGCGGUUCGAUCCCGCUAUCCUCCACCAAGAAACACUUAGUUAUUUUUUUUGUGAAUAUUUUAAUUAUUAUCAAUAUCUAUAUCCGAUUGUUCAAGUUAUUGAACAAUCAUUGAAUGUUCGAAUAGAUGAACAUUCCAACAAAAAUUUGAUUCAACACAGAAAUUUUUUCUG
rnacentral:sRNA from 1 species